GAUGAACGCUAGCGGGAGGCUUAACACAUGCAAGUCGAGGGGCAGCACGGGGUAGCAAUACUCUGGUGGCGACCGGCAAACGGGUGAGUAACGCGUAUGUAACCUACCCUGUACAGGGGGAUAACCCGGAGAAAUUCGGACUAAUAUCCCAUUAACAAUAUCUGGAGGCAUCUUUGGAUAUUUAAAGUUCUGGCGGUACGGGAUGGGCGUGCGUAACAUUAGCUAGUUGGUAAGGUAACGGCCUACCAAGGCUUUGAUGUUUAGGGGUCCUGAGAGGGUGGUCCCCCACACUGGUACUGAGACACGGACCAGACUCCUACGGGAGGCAGCAGUGAGGAAUAUUGGUCAAUGGGCGCAAGCCUGAACCAGCCAUCCCGCGUGCAGGAAGACGGCCCUAUGGGUUGUAAACUGCUUUUCCAGGGAGAGAAACUUGCGCACGUGUUGCGCAAUUGACGGUACCCUGGGAAUAAGCAUCGGCUAACUCCGUG
rnacentral:rRNA from 1 species